GUGGCUAAAAUAAUCCUAAGUUCUCCUUAUUAGCUAUAGUUAUUAUCGCUUAUCUCUUCUUACUUAAUUUUUUUCAUUGAUUAAUUAAUUUACGAUUCAAAUGGUAUCUUCUCUCUCUUAUUUUUUUCUCGCAAACAGACAUCUUAAUUAGGUCCCUCAAUUAAACUUUUUUUAAUGAUUAACCAAAGUGCAUACACAAAGCAAGUCAUGUCGUUUAGCUACAAAAUGAUUCAUCCCCACCUAUUUUCUAAAAUUGUCGUACUAAUUUUGUAAUGAUUAUCGAAAGUGCAUUAUUAGAGCAGAUACAAUAGGGAUAUUAGGAAGGCUCCAAAACUUAUUAAUUAGCCUAAAACGAGAUUUAGGAAAGAAAAUCACAGAUGAGAAAGAAGCCGGCUCGCGCCGGCGCUUGCAUAGCGCCCCACGCUGUAUCGGCCAGAAGAUACAAUAAAAAAUUCGUUUGUGGGUCCUACUACUUGUUAAUUCGUUUGAACCAAAACAAUUUAUAGCUAACUUGUAGUUAGCUUGUUGUAUGAGUUACUCUUUAAGUUAGCUCUACCUGAGACAACAAAAUUUUGGAGCCUACUGCUAGCUGCACUAUUGACCUUGCUCUUAGGACGAGCACUACAUGGCUAACUAAUGCAGUAGCCACGCGGACAGAUGUUAGCUCUACCUGAGAACAAAAUUUUGGAGCCUACUGCUAGCUGCACUAUUGACCUUGCUCUUAGGACGAGGACGAGCACUACAUGGCUAACUAAUGCAGUAGCCACGCGAACAGAUGUUAGCUCUACCUGAGACAACAAAAUUUUGGUGUCUACUGCUAGCUGCACUAUUGACCUUACUCUUAGGAUGAGCACUACAUGGCUAACUAAUGCAGUAGCCACGCGGACAGAUGUUGUGGAAUAUGAUGCUACACUCCGUAUGUCAGUAUGGCGUCGCUUCGUUUGUUAAUGGCCAAGAAUUACACAAGUUACACUAGUUUUUUUUUAACAGCCGGGUGCGGACCAGGCAAAGACACCCAAUGCAAAUUACUUGCUAUGUCCACGGGUGCUGCCCUGGCCAAAAGUUCUGUACAGGCAAAAGAACACCAUUUGGUGCAUUCAGCUUUGAGCGAUUCAGACCCAUGAGGGUACUUUAUUAUCAGACUGAAAUUCAAUGUCGUAACAUGUAUCAAGGUUAACAUCUUUCUCUCCACCUGACAGUAAACCCCUAUUUUUUUACUACAAACUGAAUCCAUGUAACCAUGAGCAAAGAAUUAAAACAUCCGCACCAGGCAAUAGGAUACAUGUAUGCUUAAGGGAAAACCCACAAAAUUAGUUCUACCGCCAACGGCCUCUCAUGAAUACAUUCCUAAUCUUUCUGUCAUUUUCCCUUAUACCUAUAUCCCAAAGAUAAGAAUGGAGUUUGACAUCGCCUUAGGAAGAGAAGGUUGAAAGGACGUUCUUCUUGAUGAUGAAUUCAUCGGCCUUUGAUGGGCUGAUGGACUGCAGGAAGCAAAAAAAAUAAAAAAGUAUUGUAUAAGUACAAGUCGUUCAUUAUGUAAGAUGACAAGUGAUAGUAAAGUUUGGAUUGGCGAUCACGGUUUCCCACCUUCUCCAACAUGCGUUCAAGCCUCUCUGUUUCCUUCUUGGUAUAGUCGUGACCUUUGUCCAGGAUUUUCUUUGCAAUGGCAAUGUAGACCUUUCCAUGCCUGAUUUAAAUAUGUAAAUGCCAAGGUUCAACUUGCAUGUACAGAUAACGUCAUUGCAAAAAUAAUAAAUGCAACUUAGACUAGAGUUUACUUUGCAGCAGAACCACUGAGCUUCACAACCUCCUCUUCCAUAUUGGAGAGGAUUUCCUUCCGCUUGUCAUUGGCAGCACCAAGGAACUCCUUUGCGAGGGCAUCCAAACUUGCUAUGCGCCCCGCCUACCACAACAAUAAACAAUGUAUAGUCAGAACAGGUAGUCUUUUGCAUGAGCUCACCCAUGCAAAGAAGUUUUAUAUGCAUUCAACCAACCUCUGAAGUAAGUUGGCCCUUAGUAUCACGGCUGGUACCACACUUCUCAUUAAUGAACUUGACAAAGUCAUCCAACUCCCUGCCGCCAUCGUAAUCUUCACCAGCUUUGUUUCCCUUUGGGAAGAACUUCAAUGUAGGAUAGCCAGAAACUCCAUAUCUAAAAGUCAUAAAGCAAGUCAAAACUUAUGUAGUGCAUCAUGAAAUCAAAAUAUAGAACAAGACAUGAGUUUAAAGUGCUGGAAGCAUGCCCAUAACAUGAGUUGUUUUGUGUCCAUGGGAAAACUGUAGCAUCUCAGGGCACAAGAUUAACAGCAAUAGGAAAAACAGAACGCAGAUGAUAACAUUACGGAUAAGUCAGAACAUACUUUUCGGCCAAGUCUUUGUGUUUGUCAGCAUCAAGGUUAGCAAUUACAACUCCAUCGUCCAACUUAUAAACAGAAGCCAGCUUCUCAUAUAUCUAAAAUAAUAACAAGAAUAUUAGUUGGCACGUCGAGAACAACUGAAACUUUCAAAAGUAAACAUAACAUGUAGAACAAACUUUGGGUAGAGUUAUCCACUAACCGGAGCAAGAUGCUUGCAGUGGCCACACCUAUGGAUCAAAAUUAGCAUCCAGUCAAAAUUCAUUCAUGAAAAAUCAUGCAAAAAUUGUGUCAAGAUUAUGGAGGAAAAAAGUAAGACAACUUUACAAAAGCAUACCAUGGCGCAUAGAACUCCACAAGAAUGUCUUUGUUUUCAUCAAGAACAAUUGAGUCAAAGUUGUCUGGGCCAAGCACUACAACACUUGAAGGAAUGGUUGCCAGCUUUACAUUAGUGCCUGAAAUCAGGAAAAUUCAUGAUUAUAUGCUGUUGUAACCGAGUGAAGAGAUAAAUACAAAAAUGAAUUAACUCAAGAAGCUGUUUGUGGAAACUAAGACUUGCACACCAAACAGAAUUUUCAAGGAAAUAUGAGAUAUCCAGAACUCCCAGCCCAUGGCACCAUACCAGCUACUAACCGUCUAACUCUAUUAUUAUAAGUUUGAAGUGUUACCUCCUUCAGUGUUAACAAAUUCAGCAAGGGCCUCUGCACUGCGUUGUCCUUCAUACCUACAUGGUUGUAGUGAUAUAAAUCAUGAAAAUUUUGUCUGGUGUAGAUGUUCAAAAGUAUUUGAACAAAAGUUAUGCAGCCUCACUUUUUGGGCUCCAG
rnacentral:sRNA from 1 species